rnacentral:lncRNA from 10 species
UGUGACUCUGCUUCCUUAAACGUGAAAUGGAGCCUUAAGGAUCCAUUUUCUGACAUGGUGAUAGUAAAGAUAUUGGUUGUCAAGUGGAAUCUCAGCAGUCAUUUUCAGACAAAGGGAAAGAAAAAGUAUGGAAGAUGCCUGAUUCUCAAAGAGUCAUCCGGUCCUGGGAUUACAGCCUAAGUCCAUGGAAGUGAAAGUCCUCUUUUUCUUUGUACCUCUUACUGAGAUAAGUCUGAUGCAAUUAAUUAUAUUAGUUACAUUCUAUUCAUUGGUUAUAACUAUAUUUUAAAUAUACCUGGUUUAUAAGAAUUAAACCUAUUUGCCAUACCACAGUUAUUGCUUCAGAAGCCAAAUGUGAUUUUAUUAUGGUCAUAAAAUUAUUUUAGAUAUCCUCAUAUCUCUUAUAUAUCUGAACUGCCCAGGAACUUUCAUGAUUAUAAUGUACCACAUAGGACAUAUUGUAGUUGAUCACUAAGCAGAGAAAUCUACCUAGAUUAAGCAAAAAAAAAAAAAAAAUAUGUAUUGAGAUUGAUAUGGUUAGCCUUUUUGUCCCCACUCAGAUAUCAUCUCGAAUUGUAAAUCCCCAUAUUUUCCCCCAUGUGUCAAUGGGAGAGACCAGGUGGAGGUAAUUGAAUCAUGGGGGUGAUAGUGAGUGAGUUCCCAUGAAAUCGGAUGGUUUUCUAAGGGGCUCUUCCUCCUUCACUUGGCAAUUCUCCUUCCUGCCACCCUGUGAGGAAAGUGCCUGCUUCCCCUUCACCUUCCACCAAGAUUGUUAAAUUUCUUGAGGCUUCCCCAGCCAUGCUGAACUAUGAGUCAAUUAAAUCUCUUUCUUUAUAAAUUACCUAGUCUCCGGCAGUUCUUUAUAGCAGUAUGAAAACAGACUAAUAAAGAGAUUAAUCUUAAUUUUUCCUUUCAGAAAUGCUGAAUGCUGUUCCUAGAUUUGUGAAAGUGAAGUGUGCAUAAGCUGCCUCAGUGCGACACUUUCCUUUUGUGAGACUAAAGAAAUUGAGGUACUAUAUGGUACCUUGGAAGUGUCAUCAAGAUAUUUUAAAAGCUGACUGGAGCGCAUUUCUUUGAUACUCCUCCUAGCUGAAAUUAGAACAUUUAUAAACUAUUAUCAAUAUGUCAUUAGGAAAAUUUUGAGAUCUAUGAUACAUUAAGUUUGUGAAAUUGUUCUGAAGCAAUGAAUGAACUCUCUAGAUUAACUCUACUAGGAUAAAAUAAAAUAUUCCUAUUUAUUUCCAUUCACAAAAUAGUUGUUCUCUAGAUAAUCAAAUAUCCAUAAUAAUGAUGAACCCAGAAAGUGUUUAUUUUACCUGGUAUUUAUUAUAGUCAGUUCAAAGUUCAAUAGAAA